UACCCGGUAGUGUAACGGUAGCACAAGAGAUUUUGGCUCUCUUUGUCUAGGUUCGAAUCCUAGCCGGGUAG
rnacentral:tRNA from 1 species